CAUGUCCUGGGGUGUGCGCCACGCUGAAGUUUUUACCCACAUUUUCUUAAAAGGAUUCCGGGUCGGUGAGUGGAUGCCAGGCCUCCUUCGACAGAGGAAGGCAGCAAGCGAAUCGCAGGUCUCCGCCCUGCCGAGAGGCGGGUGAAAAGACGUAGGCGAACGGCACUUUGGGAUGCAG
rnacentral:other from 1 species